rnacentral:rRNA from 1 species
UACGUAGGGUGCAAGCGUUGUCCGGAAUUAUUGGGCGUAAAGAGCGUGUAGGCGGCCCGAUUAGUCCGCUGUGAAAGUCCAGGGCUCAACCCUGGAAUGCCGGUGGAUACUGUCGGGCUAGAGUCCGGAAGAGGAGAGUGGAAUUCCUGGUGUAGCGGUGAAAUGCGCAGAUAUCAGGAAGAACACCCGUGGCUAAGGCGGCUCUCUAGUACGGUACUGACGCUGAGACGCGAAAGCGUGGGGAGCGAACAGG